rnacentral:rRNA from 1 species
AUAGAUACCCGGGUAGUCCACGCCGUAAACGAUGAGUGCUAAGUGUUAGGGGGUUUCCACCCCCUUAGUGCUGCAGCUAACGCAUUAAGCACUCCGCCUGGGGAGUACGGUCGCAAGACUGAAACUCAAAGGAAUUGACGGGGGCCCGCACAAGCGGUGGAGCAUGUGGUUUAAUUCGAAGCAACGCGAAGAACCUUACCAGGUCUUGACAUCCCGCUGACCGCUAUGGAGACAUAGCCUUCCCUUCGGGGACAGCGGUGACAGGUGGUGCAUGGUUGUCGUCAGCUCGUGUCGUGAGAUGUUGGGUUAAGUCCCGCAACGAGCGCAACCCUUGUCCUUAGUUGCCAUCAUUCAGUUGGGCACUCUAAGGAGACUGCCGUACAAAUACGGAGGAAGGUGGGGAUGACGUCAAAUCAUCAUGCCCCUUAUGACCUGGGCUACACACGUGCUACAAUGGACGGUACAAACGGUCGCGAAGUCGCGAGACGGAGCCAAUCCGAAAAAACCGUUCUCAGUUCGGAUUGCAGGCUGCAACUCCG